rnacentral:rRNA from 1 species
AACGAACGCUGGCGGCAGGCUUAACACAUGCAAGUCGAACGCCCCGCAAGGGGAGUGGCAGACGGGUGAGUAACGCGUGGGAACGUGCCCUUCGCUUCAGGAUAGCCUCGGGAAACUGGGAGUAAUACUGGAUACGCCGUAUUGGGAAAGAUUUAUCGGCGAAGGAUCGGCCCGCGUUAGAUUAGGUAGUUGGCGGUGUAAUGGACCACCAAGCCUACGAUCUAUAGCUGGUCUGAGAGGAUGAUCAGCCACACUGGGACUGAGACACGGCCCAGACUCCUACGGGAGGCAGCAGUGGGGAAUCUUGGACAAUGGGCGCAAGCCUGAUCCAGCCAUGCCGCGUGAGUGAAGGAGGCCUUAGGGUUGUAAAACUCUUUCGCCGGAGAAGAUAAUGACGGUAUCCGGAGAAGAAGCCCCGGCUAACUUCGUGCCAGCCGCCGCCGUAAAAC